CAAACGGCUCUUUUUAGAGCCACCCAUUUUAUGACAGAGAAAUAC
rfam:Ciona savignyi cont_65799, whole genome shotgun sequence.